CCGGUGACUCAGUGGUUGACUCAAAGGCUAGAGGGUGGUUUGGGGGUGGAGGCAGAGGUCCAGUGAGCUGGGCUCCACCCUUUCUCUCCCUGCAGUCCCAACUCCAUUUUUAUCUGUGCUAUAUGUUGGAGUCUAGCCAAGAUGUCAUUUGAACAAAGAUUCUGAAAGAUCAAAGAAAAAAGUUUGAAAACCACCAGGACAAUGCUUUCAGGGGACUUUAUCCAAAAGACUGCAACAAUGUAAAGAGAUACGAUUGCUUUUAUUACUGUGAUAUGUUUAAAGUAUUAUAAAUUUUUUAAGAGCUUUGUAAGUGACAGAAGUGAAGACAUGCUCAUUUUAAUGUUACCAGUCAACUCUGAGAAGACUAAAGGUCAAGGGACAAUGAAAAUGUGACCCUUACCAACGACAGAAACUCCCAGGAAGCCACAAUUAACUCAAGACCACCAGGAUAUUUGGGGAAGUUUAUCCUUCUGGAAACCAGAAUUUCUGAUUUGUGGAAAAUUCUAUAGAUAUUCUCUGCCAGACUCCAGCCUAUUUGUGUGAGACAUCUGGGGAGGCUCCCCUUUUUUUCACCAUUUGAGGACUGAAAGUAAAUUUAGCUUCCUCAGCAGAAAGAAAAGAAGCUGUUUUGGAGGUUGGGAAGAGCUUUAGAAAAUGCGGCAUCACGUCUGUUGCCCCAUUUGAAGAAAGCAGCUCUGGAAAAGGCCUAGGACAUUAGUUGCUACAAAGUUCUAGAUCAUUCUGUGUGGUAAAGAAGUGCCUUUCACCUCCCACUGUGAUUCUGAGGCCUCCCCAGCCAUGUGGAACUAUCAGGUCUGUGUUGGUAAAUUAGACACCGUGUGGCCUUUCAACAUCCAGGAGCAAGAUGGCAGGAGAAUCAUGCCAACAACUGAGGAGUGAUAUCCACCCAGGUUUGCUCAGUAAGACUAUGAGACCUAUCUUCCUGGCUGUGGUGAUUGGUUCAGAAGCAACAUGCCAACCAACCUGAUCCAAUGAGAAAGGCUGCCCAAGUAUAAAACCAACACAGAAGAAAGCAGAGGUAAGAGAUGGAAAAAGAAAUGAGUGAACCAGUGACAGCAAGAGACUGAAGAACAUCAUUUGAUUGCCUGGAAUCAGCUAAGCCUGAAGAGAAGCCUAACCCUAAGCUUUUCAGUUACCCAAGCCAUCAAAUUCCCAUCCCCAUUUUUUUGGUUCUUAAGCAGCUUGAACCAUAGUUGUCUCACUUGCAUGCAAGAGAUCCCUGAAGAUACAUGCAGUUCCUCAGGUGAAGAUUGCCAUCAGUUAACAGAUCCUGGCACCCAUGGACCCUGGGACAGUCAUUCUGGUAGCAUCCUCUGGUAGAGAAUAACAUAGUCAAAUCUGACAGUCAGAGAGUAUCUGCCAGCCUCUGCUUAGAUAUAGCCCACUGAAAGGGAGAGAUGAUUAAUUUAGCCUUGAUUUCAAAACCUUGUCUUGUAUAUUCCAUUCAGCACUUUUUAUCUUCCUGUAUUCCCCUGGUUCCUCUCUAGCUGAAUAAAGAACAAUUUUUAAAGCAAACAUCUUCA
rnacentral:lncRNA from 1 species